GGGCAAGAACUUAGCUUUCGCAUCUAAUGUGAGGAAAGUCCACCCACACAGCUGUUUUCAGCUGAAAAGAGCCACUCUUGAGAAAGAGUUCCUGAGAGGGAAGGCAACCCAUUCAGAAAAUAAACCACUUAUUAAGAGUAUGAUGCUGCGAAGCCUUGAGGCGACUUGGGGCGAGUUAACCAGCUGACGUUUUAGUAAGAAAGGAUGAAACAUGGGACCUGGUCUGUGCAAGUUCAUUGCAACGCUUAGUUAAAUGCUAAGGCAGGCUAUCGCAACAUCUGUUGCACAAAAGGGCCUGACAGAAGGUGGCUUAUUCCUACCC
rnacentral:RNase_P_RNA from 1 species